rnacentral:lncRNA from 1 species
GCCGGCCUCCGUAGCCGCGCCAGGGGCGUCGCGCACCUGUGCUGGCUAGCGGUGAGGCAGGCCACUAUGCGCUGCUGGAGGGCAUUGCGCAGGACGAGAGGCUCUUCCCUCGACGAGAACUCGGCGCUGCUCAGCCUCCCUCGGUGAGAUCUUGUCCUUUGGAUCCGGCAAAUCUUCUCAAUCCCUCGACCUCUCUCUAUCUUCUCUCUGUCCACCUUGUAGGCACCUAGAUUCAGCACUUCGAUCUAGCGAAGGGCGUUGCGGGGGUGGCUGCAGCGGUGAAGGCCUCGAUCUGAUGUACAUCAAUCCGGCAAGGGUGGUGUGAAGGCCGCGAUUUGCAGAACAGCGGUGUUGCUGCCACAGCUCUGUCCAAAGCGGAGCAGUGGAGGCGUCUUGCUUUUCAUCGAUCUGCUCUCUCCCUAUUUCAGGCUGCAGGUCACCAUGUACAGAUUUUUCCAUGCACAUUCUAUCUUAUUACAUUUAGUUAGCCUGGCUUGUAUGUGUAUCGUGAGAUUCAUGGCUAAUACAUGCAAGCCCACAUGACCAACAAAACAUCCGUAGAUUGCUUGCUUGUUAAUUUCAUUUAGCAGCAAUGUUGUUUUUCUUCUCUGG